AUGAACUAUCUAUUGUGAACCGCGAAUGGCUCAUUACAACAGCCAUAGUUUACUGGAUAUAUUCCAUUACAUGGAUAACUGUGGUAAUUCUACAGCUAAUACACGCAUCAAAGCCCUGACUUCGGAAAGGGUGCGUUAGUUACUUCAAACUGAUCGGUCUUCGGACUGUCAUCAAGUGAGAUUGAACUAUUUAGCUGAUCGCACGGUCUAAGCACCGGCGACAUAUCCUUCAAAUGUCUGCCUUAUCAACUUUCGAUGGUAGAUUAUGCGCCUACCAUGGUUGUAACGGGUAACGGAGAAUCAGGGUUUGAUUCCGGAGAGGGAGCCUGAGAAAUGGCUACCACAUCCAAGGAAGGCAGCAGGCACGCAAAUUACCCACUCCCGGCACGGGGAGGUAGUGACGAAAAAUAACAAGCUGGUCUCUUUGAGUUCCGGCAUUGUAAUGGGAACAACUUAAAUCAUUUAUCGAGGAUCUAUUGGAGGGCAAGUCUGGUGCCAGCAGCCGCGGUAAUUCCAGCUCCAAUAGCGUAUAUUAAAGUUGUUGCGGUUAAAAAGCUCGUAGUUGGAUCUACGAUCAAGGCUCGUGGUCGUUCUUCUCGAAUGUACUGCGAUGUCUGGUCGAUUUAUCUGGUGAACGAUUGAUGCUCUUCAUUGAGUGUCUCUAGUUGCUGGAACGUUUACCUUGAAAAAAUUGAAGUGCUCAAAGCAGGCUCUUGCCUGAACAUUGCUGCAUGGGAUAAUAGAAUAGGACUUCGGUUCUAUUUUGUUGGUUUCGGAACGCGGAGUAAUGAUUAAUAGGGACAGACGGGGGCAUUCGUAUUGCUGCGUUAGAGGUGAAAUUCUUGGAUCGUAGCAAGACGACCUACUG
rnacentral:rRNA from 1 species